AGGAUUUUAGUUAAAAUAUAACAUUUAAAUUGCUCUUAAAAAUUAUAUCUCAUAUAUAAAUCUUU
rnacentral:tRNA from 1 species